rnacentral:rRNA from 1 species
UAGUGAGUUUGAUCCUGGCUCAGAACGAACGCUGGCGGCAGGCCUAACACAUGCAAGUCGAGCGCCCCGCAAGGGGAGCGGCGGACGGGUGAGUAACGCGUGGGAACGUGCCCCUUUCUACGGAAUAGCCUCGGGAAACUGGGAGUAAUACCGUAUAAGCCCUUCGGGGGAAAGAUUUAUCGCCAAAGGAUCGGCCCGCGUUGGAUUAGGUAGUUGGUGGGGUAAAGGCUCACCAAGCCAACGAUCUGUAGCUGGUCUGAGAGGACGACCAGCCACACUGGAACUGAGACACGGUCCAGACUCCUACGGGAGCAGCAGUGGGGAAUUUGGACAAUGGACGCAAGUCUGAUCCAGCCAUUCCGCGUGCAGGAU